CUCUGCCCCUGAUGAAAUUAGUAAUUGGAACCAUACGUAGAACAUUAGCAUGGCUGGCCCUACACAAGGAUGACUAUACAAAUCUAGAGAUGAUCCAAAUUUUU